CUCAUGAAUUUGCCUCUCUACGCGUGACCAGUGACACCGUUGAGAGCUAAUGUGGCUUAAAGGAAUAUUGUUUCCCUGUUUGGAUCACCCAGGCAUCACCCAGCAUGAGUCCUAUGGGCAACAUCCUACCUGGGAUGUGUCACAUGCCAUUCUUCUGAUUUUCAUGAAUAUCCUCUAAAAGGCAGCUAAGCACUCGCUGUCUUCUUCCUUUUGCCUCAUCAAGCACGGGGGACGCUGGAAGGAAGAGUAUUUGUACAGUUGAGCCGAAAUGCCUGUUCUAACAAAGAGAGCCUGGGUGGGACUGCCAAGAUGAAUAGACAUAAUCCUCGAUCUAACCACUUCACAGUUUAUCAUCGGAGUCAAGUUUGCAGAUAAACAAUUGCCAUGCAACUUUCAAGAAAAUGGUGCCUGAGAUGAGCAAGGUCAGCAGACAAGAAGUGAGGUCAAUGUCAGGUUUCCAUGCCAGCAGCGGGAACUCUGGAUACAGUGGAGAGUCACAGCUGGUCAAACCCUGAACCGCUUGCUCCUUGAAAUGGCCAGAGAGGCCCAUCCCAGAGCCAUCUCAUCAUCUCUCCUCAGACAGGAAACCGAGAAGGAAAACAAUCAGCUCUGUUCUCUCUGGGCCGAGGGAGUGAGCUGUAAUGAGGGAGCACAGGAACGCAUUGGGCGCCCUCAGACCUGAACACACAGGUUAGCACCACCUGCCUGGCUGACCUGGCUCACAGUUGAGAAUAACUCAUCCAGGGUUGUUGAAUGGUGGAGGAUCUUCCAAAAUCAGCAGCUAGGAGGUCGAGAACCCUUCAUGCCAUACUAAGAAGUUUCAUGCUAGGCAAAGAAGAGUGACAAGGUAUUUCAACAGAGGUACACAAAGAAGGAUUACCACAGGAAAUCCAGAGAGGCUUUAGAAGACGAGCUUGCGUUGAGAUAGAAGCCGGAAGCCCACUUAGCCAACUGCCUCCAUGGGACUUGGCAUGAGGCAGGCUUAUGACAGUAAAUGCUACACUGCCCUCAGUGAAAAAGAGAAUUUGGCAUUCAUUCUUCUGAACCCGCCAUCCCUCAGCCUUGGCGCCUGGGAAUUCUGCGAAUCGUUGCCUGUGGCAGUGACACUGAUUUGUAUCUGGGUAUGAACUUAAAUGAAAACAUGAAUUGAACUCAUUACUUGAGGAAGGAAACACUGCCAAAUUUAACAGGAUGAAAUUCCAGCAGGGUGUAAGGUUUUAUGGGGCUACAGUGGAAUAUCUCAUAGAAAGGUUUCCAGUUCAUAAAACACUUUCAAAACAUGCUCGGCCCUUUUAAGUUGAAGGGACAUUAUCAUUUCUAUCUAUGGCAUUUCUCUGCAAAUUGAACUCAAAUAUCCUUUGGGCUGACUACACAGAGAACAGAAGAAAGAAGUGGAAGAAACUUGGACUGAAGAUUGCCUCCCUGAAAAGGUUUUCUUCAGGCAGAAUUAGGUGAGAACAAAUGACAUCAGAAAGUAGCAUGUCAGUAUACUGCUGCCAGCUCCAUAUGGUUCAGCUUGUUUUCACAGGUAUUUAAUUAAUUCCACAAACAUAUAUUGAGUAUCAGAUGUGGGAUCCUGUUCAACACAUUUGGGGUACAGUAGUCAAUUAGUCUACUCUCAUGGCACAUACAUGCUGGAAGGAGAGAAAAACAAUAAAUAAAUGAACAAAAGAUGCAGUAUCAGGUAGUGAUCAUUGCUAUCAAGAAAAAUAAAGCAAGAGAAAAUGGGAUAGAAGGUGUCAGGGGUGCGGGGUGACAUUUUACAUAGUGUGUUUGGCAAAGGCAAUUCUCAGGUGGUGACAUUUGAACAGAAGCUUGAAUGAAGUGACCUACAUGUUGAAUCCAGAAAGCUAAUUUUAUAUAUAUAUAUUUUUGGAAGGGGGCAGGAGAUAAUAAGCUAGUAAAAGGGUUGGGAAAUUAUUUUGAUUCAAGGAUGCCCAGUUUAAAAAACUGUAAGAGACAGCCCCUCUUUUUCUCCCAGUAUAGCGCUUUCGGUGGCCAUUUGAAUAGAGCUCUGCAUGUUUCCUUGGGAUUUUCUGGUGUUCAUGGCAUAACAACCAGCCAGCAGUCUUCUGGCUGGACCACGUUUUACUUGCUAGCAAGGAGCAGAAGCUGUGGAAAUUGGCAUGUAGAGAUGUAAAAGGAUUUUAUACUUUUCAGCCUGGGCAGAAAAUUAUAGAGAAAAGUAGGUGGGAGUCAGAAAAACAUGAAAUGAGAAAGAAAAGCAUAAUCUGAGUGAGUUCUCUCUCUUUUUUUUUUUGUUUUCUAUGUUUAUCUUUCCACAGCUUUUUCACUGGCUCUGUUAAAAAGCAAAUAUCACUGCAAACUUCAUUUCAUUUUCUCUCAACAGAUGAAAUAAAGCUUGUUAAAAUGUUUUUCCCUUCUGUCAGGUGCAAACUCCAUGUUAGCAGGUUUGAAAACUUUCACAUGUUCAGAUAGCAAUGGAGGUUUUAACUUGGCCAACAUCAACAAACAAACCAUGAGUCCCUCACGUGUGCAAUGCUUGCAUAGAAUGAAAUUGAGUAUGAGCAUGUUUGCCAACCCUACUACAAAUGGUUUAUUUAGAAUAGUAGAAUGUGAAAAAUACAGAUUUAUUUUUAAUAGCUAGUACCAUGAUGAUUAUUGAUUUUUUCUUCCAGAUUAUUAAUUUAAAUAGCAAAAUUAUGCUACAUGUUUAAAAUAUGUCUGUAUCCUGAAAGUACUUAUUGUAAGCUUAAGCCCAGUCUUAUUUCUAAAAAGAUAAUUUGUAGGAGGUAUAAUUUUCAUUUGUAUUCAUGUAUAUUAAUAUAUUUUUUGGUGUUACACUGUUGCAUGAGGAUAGCUGUAAGGUCAGGAUAUUUAGGAAACCUCUGAAUUGAACAUUGAGCUUGUGGAUCUAAUAUUUAAGUAACUGGUUUCUGUCUACGUACUCUUUUCUCUUCCGUGGUAAGCCCUGCAGGCAAGCUCACUUCUCUAUGUUCUCAGUUGUAAAUGAGGAAAGUAGGACGAGGUAUGGAGCUGGAGGGUAAAUGGCAGAAUAGAAGACAGAGUGCCAUUCUGCGUAAGAGCACCACCUUUUGUGUUUGGCAGGCUUGGUUUUAGUCCUGAUUUUUCCAGGUCCAAGUAUAAUCUGGAGCAUUUCUCAAAUUCACUAAACCUCAGUUUCACCUUCUGUAAAACGAAGCUAUUUCAUUGAGUUAUUUUGGGUUACAUAUGUAAAAUUUACAGCCAAAUACUUAACACUCAAGUCUGUCAAGAAACAAUUCCAAAUAUUUUAUAAUAAAUAUAUAAAAAACUUUCACAAUUCAUGGAAUUUACUUCUUGAUUAGUUGCCAUGGUCUAUGGUUAUAAUGAAAUGUACUCUUGGCAGUCCUGGAUAGAGAAGCUCUUGAACCACAACCACAACCAUUACCUUGGAGAUGUCGAAACUGCCCUUUUCCCCGAGACCAUCAUUAGUGCUUUCCACGAACCUGGAUGAUAACCUCACGUUCACCUUUCAAAGCCAAGAAUAACAAGAGAAUUGAAUGUAAUGAUAAUGUUUCUUCUUAAAAUUAUGCCAAAUCCGACUUAGUUGAUGUGAGUUCUGCUUUUUAAAUUAAAGAAAGUACAAAGUCUAUUUUGUGGGUUGGCUAAAAGGGCACUGGUUAAAGAAAACAAUGGUUAUUUGUUUCUGAUGUACAAAUGAUCCACACAGACACAUCUUUAGAUGAAACCCCAAAUUCUUUACUGGUUGGGUUCUACAAAGAGUGACAGUAGUAAUUUGGUGAAGCAGCAGGGGGCAGAGGACUCUUGGUGGUAAGUUAACUUGAUUCUACUUUGAAAACUCUG
rnacentral:lncRNA from 1 species